rnacentral:piRNA from 1 species
UAAGCAGAUUGUGUAUGUAUGCAGAAGU